GUGUGAAUCUUUGUUUGUAUGUGCCGGUGUGUGUAUCUGUGUGUCAGUGUGUAUGUAUCUGACACACAGGUACACACACUGGCACAUAGUGGUACACAGA